AAGGAGAGGAAAGUCCAUGCUCGCACUGACUGCGAUGUCAGUAGUGAUUGCGCCAGGGGAAGAAAUAACCCUGGGUACGCUGGAGAGCGUAACGGCGGAGGAAGGUCUCCCGUAGAUCGGAAUCCCCAAGGUGCCACAGAGACGAGCUUGCUAGCGAUAGCAAGAUGCAACGCGGUAAACCCCACAAGCGAGAAACCUAAAUUUGGUAAGGGAAGCGCCCAAUGCGAACUGAAGCGGCGGGGGCCAGGGAAACCUGAGAUAAAUUUCCACUCUCGACAUAACAUGGCUUAUAG
rnacentral:RNase_P_RNA from 1 species